rnacentral:ncRNA from 1 species
UCUGGCUAUAUAUUAAAGAUAUAUAUGAAAAAUUAAUAUCUAAUAUAAAUUUAAUAAUAAACAAAGUGAAUUGAAAUAUCUUAAUAACUUUAGGAAAAGAAAUCAAACGAGAUUUUAUUAUUAGUGUAUACUAAAAUAAAAAAGCUUAUAAGUAAAAUGGAAAAUAUCUGUUUGAAUAAAGGGGAACCUUCCUCUAAAGCUAAAUAUAAUAUAUAAGCGAUAGCGAAUAGUACCGUGAGGUAUAGA